rnacentral:lncRNA from 1 species
GUACUCUCUCUCCUCUUGCCCUUCUGUCUCCUGACAUUGCUUCUCAUUGGCUGAACCCAACUGGAGGCCACAGUCAGGAGAUCAGGGUGGAGAGUGGAUCUGGGAAGUCAAAUAGGGAAUUGACAGCGCAGUUUAUUUUUUGGCAUCUUAUCCUUUCUGUGCAUACACAAAAGAAAAACUGUAAGGUAAAUGAAUUGGUUGAAGAAUUCCUAGAACGUCUUCAUCUUCAGAGUAUUUUUUUUUUCUCAUACCGUCAUCUUCUGUGCCAUCAAGGACACAAGUCCAGGUGCAGCAUUCUAUAGGAGAUGUUCCACUAGGGUCUCUGCACCCAAGCCACUGACACUCACUCCUGCAAAGUUUGAUGCUGGGCCUUUUAAACCCUCUCCUCCUUUUUUAAUCAUGGUGAAAUAUAUGCAACACAAAAUUUACCAUUUUAAGCAUUUUUGUAUGUACAUUUCAGUGACAUUAGUCCAAAUUUCACAUUAUUAGCUGUAUGCCCAUCACCACCAUCCAUUUGCAGAAUUUGUUCAGCUCCUCAAACUGAAACUUUGUACCCUUUCAAUGGUAAUUCCCCAGGGAUGCCUGGGUUAUUUUGAACUCAUCAGAAGAGGCCAACAAAAGAUUAUCAGACUGGAUUUCUGCAAAGGUAGAACAUGUCAGUGACAUGGUGCCACCUGGCUGACAGCACUUACAAGGCAUUACUAGUUGUGAGAUGCAUCCUAAUUUCAGAGAUGUUAAAAUGUUGGGAAAAUAUGUUGCUUAGAAUCAAUGAAAUAUAAAUCCUUUAACAGCAGAUCUCACAGCCAGUAUUCUGUGAAUGGGUUUCAGAUGGGCCAAAAACUUGUUCUUUUCUGUCCUCAGGGAAGCCAAGCAGGACCUAAGGCAACUGGAAUCCUUAGGAUGAAAAAUGUUGGCUUUGAGUGCUAUUAUCCGUUUACCCCAAUGUGCCUUAAAAUAUUAUCAUUUUCUGCGUGUAAUGUGAUCUGAAAAAGACUAGGAAGCACAGCUCUGGCGGAUCUCCAUCUUUAGUCUGGCCAGAUUUCUAGAUUUAUAUUUAACUCAAUAUUAUCCGUGUACAUCUGUAGGCAGGAGGUACUGAUGAGAGAACUGUUCAAAUAUGCUUCACCUAAUGUAACAGUAAAGCUGGCAUCUCAAGCUCUUGAGGGCCCUUCUGCAUCAGGCUAGGAGAAGCACAAACCUUUGAGUACCCAACACAGGAAAAAUCCGUACCUACCUUCUGCACUGCAGUUCCAUUUGUACUGCUUAGUACAGUCUUGGCACUGACUGAAAGGAAAAAGAACUUACUUUACAAGAAGCUCAGAGGUUGGGAAACUCCAGGGCUGAUUAAUUUAGCAGCUUAACAGUGCAUUAAGGACCAACGGUUUCCAGAUCUCUUCCCGUUAUUCUCGGCUUCUCUGCCUCAUUCUCUGACUAGGUUUUCUCAUGAGUGUGGCGGCUGAAUCAACUCCCAGCAUGAUGCCCUCACAGAAUGUCCCUCUGUCUCUUGUUUUCUCAAGACUUCCCGGCACUUUCUGAGAUUUCCCACUGGGUCAAAUUGAGUUGGAUGUCCAGGUGUUAACCAGUCACUAGCAGGGGGAAUAGCCUAGAUCAAUCAGGACUGAAGUCUGAGUCCCGAGGAGUUAGGGUGGACCCUGAACCAAGUCAAAUCUAUUUGCAAAGAAGAGGUGGGGGACUGUCCCUUGGGUAGGCAAGAAAACAUCUGCUGACCCACUUUGAGGGCGCAGUCUUAGAAAACUGCAUCUCCAUGGCAAUUGUACACUCAUUACAGUAUUGCCUUUAAAGGCAAAAAUUUAGAAUUAAUCAGGAAGUCCAUCAAUAGAAGACUAGUUAAAUGAAUUAUGAUACAGCCAUAUGAUGAGAUAUGUAAUAGAAAAGAAUGAGAUAGAUAUAUGUGCAACCAACAUGCAAGGUGAAUGAGACUUAAGUUUUCAAUAAAGAUAGUGUUGGAGAAUAAUAAAUGGGAUUCAAUCCCAUUUUGAUCACUCUGUACAUAUAAACUCAAAAUAGAAAUAAAAUCUGGGUGCUAUGAAGGGGAUUAAUAAGGGUAGAGUGGCUGAGAUAGGAAUUUUCACUUAAAAGGUUACACAUUUUUGGGGCUGGAAUGUAGCUCAGUGGUAGAACACUUGCCCACUAUGAAUGAGGCCCUCGAUUCAAUCCCUGGUACUGGGCAGUGGGGUAGAAGUAUGCACUUUUGAUUGCUUGACUUUUUAACAAAUUGUUUAUUACUUUGUAAUUAAAAAAUAAGUUUGUCUCAUGGGUAGAAGGCAAAUAGAAAAUAACAUAUUACUAUUAAUGAGAUCAUAAUACUCCCAACAUUAUAGCUACAUAUAUAAAAACAUCAACCCCAAAUUUAUUACUGCCUUUUUUGAAUCACUUGCCUACACUGGGUGCACCUACUCUCUGGUAGUUAACAGAGCAGUCUCUUCAGCUGGGCUGUCUGAAACAGCAGCGUCUAACCACAUGUCGCUAUUUUAAGUUUAUUAAAAUAAAAUUAAAAAUUCAAGCUAGGCAUGGUGGCACAUGCUUGUAAUCCCAGUGGCUCAGGAGGCGGAGGCAGGAGGGUCACAAGUUAGAGGCCAUCCUUAGCAGUUUAGCAAGGCCCUAAGUAAUUCAGCAAGACCCUGUCUCAAAAAAUAAAAAAGGGCUGGGGAGGGAGCCCAGUAGUUAAGUGCCCCUGGGUUCAAUUCCUAGUGGGGCUGGGUGGGAGAAGAAGUACUAAAAAAGAAAGAAAGAAAAAAUUCAUUUCCUCAGUUGCACUAGGUACAUUCAGGUGCUCAACAGCCACACAGAACUAGUGGCUGCCAUGUCAUACAGUGUGGAUUAUAGAACAUUCCCACCAUUGUAGAAAGACCAGCUGGUUGGCAGGUUCCAAGCCUAACAGCUUGAGUUCAAGCAUAGGCUUAGUUUCUUGGUAAUUAGGUGUCUUUGGACAAGAUAUUUAACCUCUUUGUUUUGUAGCUUUCUAGUUAUUAAAACAGGGAUAAUGAGAGUAUAUAGUACACAGAAAUGUUGAAUAGAUUAAAAUUCUUGCUUAGUGCCUUGCUCAUGGUAAAUCAAUAAAGUUAACUGGCAUAUUGUGAGGAACUAUGAUUUGGAAAUGGUUUGUCCCUGAAAAGUUUAUGUGAUGGAAAUUUGGUCCCCAAUGUAAUGUCAUUGAUAGGUGGUGAGACCCUUAAGAGGUAGGGCCUAGUGGAAGGUAAUUAGGUCCUGGGGCACAGCCCUCAUGAAUGAAUUAAUGCCUUUCUCAAGAAACUGGGUUAUGUCUCUUGAGACUGGAAUAAGCCUCUCAAAACUGGAUAAGUAUAUGCAGGAUGGAUUGUUAUAAAGUAGGUGGGCCCUUCCUCUUUCUCUUUUUGCACACGUGCUCCUCUUGUACAAACCCACUUCUUUUUCACUUCUCUGCCAUGUUGUAGGCGGCAACAAGGCCCUCACCAGAAGCUGAGCAGAUACUGGCACUGUGUUCUUGGACUUUCCCACUUCCAGAACUGAGCCAAAAUAAACCUCUUUUAUUUACAACUUAUCCAGUUUCAGGUAUUUUGUUAUAGCAACAGUAAAUGGGCUAAGACAGAAACCUUUCCCAAUAUUGAUUUAGCAUUUACUAAAUCCAGCACCACUGUUUUGCUAAAUAAGGAAUGACAAGUUGAAACAAGGAUGACAAGUGAAAUAAAACUUCCCUGUCUCAUGAGAAGAGUCAAGGGAGGGAGUAAGCCAGGACUGGUUCCAAGGCUUAUAUUCCUUGAUGUUUACAAAUGACAUUUGGGAUGGGGGAGUUGAAUAAUUAACCCUUCCUCUGGAGGCCCCUGCCUCCUGCCCUGCUCCUCCCUCUAUGAACAAGAGCUGACUGGUUCAAAAGAACUAUACAACUUCAGAUUUCUGAUUAACUUUCUUUUUGAUGGUGGAGGGACUGGGAGAUUAGAGGACAAUCAUUCACCCAAUUUUCUGUGCUGUGUGAAUUUUCCCAUUUUCUUCUUGUGGAUUUUCUAAAAGUUGAAUAGCUGCCUUUAAAGGAAGCCACUUUUGACCAAAUUAAGGAAGGAGAGCUCUUGCCAGAGGAUGCAACAGGAAGAGGCGAUUAUCUUGAGAAGCUUCUAAUCAAAGUUAAAAAUCAUCCUGUGUCUCUGCUUGAAGGUUCAGUGUGUGCACAUAUCCCUUGCUUGGGGCUGGGAGGCCUACAGGAAAGGACACGGUCACAUCACCGGGGUGGUUCAGGAAAAGAGGGGGCAACAGUGUCUUUGGUUCUGCAAUUGGGGGGACUUAUAUCUGCCAGGCACUUCUGAGCUGGACCUAGGUUGGUCUUCACUGGUAUAAAUGGCAUCUUAAUUAGAGUUUCUUUAGAAUCCUUUUCCUGAUUUUUUUUUUUUGAUAGCUUCUUGCAGUCAAAAGAUGUGCUUAAUCCGGGAAGGGGACUGUGAGCCCCCUGCAGUGGUACUGAUAAGGAACUGUGCUGAUAAGAUCUUGCUUUGUGCUUCAUUUUUAAAAAUUUUUAUUUAUUUAUUUUUUCAUUGUUCAGUCUUUUUUUUUAAUUAGUUACACAUGACAGUACAAUGAUCUUGACAAUUCAUACAUUUGAAUCAAAUGGGGUAUAAUUUCUCAUUUUUCUGAUUGUACAGGUUGCAGAAUCACAUUGGUCGUACAGCAUUUUUUAAAAAAUGUAUAUUUUUUAUUUUUAUAUCACAGUGGAAUGCAUUACAUUCUUAUUACACAUAUAGGACACAAUUUUUCAUACCUCUGGUUCUAUACAUGCUUCAUUUCUUAAGUUACAAUUCCAGUUGGCUAUUGUUGAGCUGAUGUGCUAUGAAAAAUGCCCCUUAAGCUUUUCAGUAUUUCUAAGCUCUGAGAGAGAGAGAGAGAGAGAGAGAGAGAGAGAGGUGUGUGUGUGUGUGUGUGUGUGUGUUAGGGAAGAGGAAAGACGACUAGUGCAGCUUUUUUUUUUUUUUAAGAGAGAGAGAGAGAAUUUUUUAACAUUUAUUUUUUAGUUAUCGGCGGACACAACAUCUUUGUUUGUAUGUGAUGCUGAGGAUCGAACCCGGGCCACACGCACGCCAGGCGAGUGCGCUACCACUUGAGCCAUAUCCCCAGCCCCAGUGCAGCUUUUGAAGGGUCACUGAGAACUGGUUUGUUAGGGUGCUGGGAUGUCCUGACUGGGGAUUAGAGUAAAGGAAGAUGGGCAUGCAGGUCCAGAGUGGGCUGUUCGGCCAUCAAAUGCCAACAGGUGAUCAGGAUUCCUCCGAACUUCGUGAAAACUGAAAAAUGAAUUCAGUUUGUUUUUCUAGCUUCCACGUGGUUACUCUAAUAUCAUCUGAGACACUUCACAAUUAAUGGAUUGUGGAUAAUUUACAUUGAAAAAAAUUGUAUUUGAUUAUAAAACCAGAAAAUACUAUGAGACUUUUACACUCUUGUAUCAUUUCUUUCCCUCCAAUUCAAAUCACAAGGUUUCCUUUUGUUUCUGAAAUAGGAUUUUUUUUGGUGGGGACACCGUACCAGGGAUUGAACUCAGGGGCACUCGAC